CGCGGAGUGGAGCAGUUGGCAGCUCGUCGGGCUCAUAACCCGAAGGUCGCAGGUUCAAAUCCUGCCUCCGCAA
rfam:Thermotalea metallivorans strain B2-1 AN619_contig000048, whole genome shotgun sequence.